rnacentral:rRNA from 1 species
AGCGAACGCUGGCGGCAGGCCUAACACAUGCAAGUCGAGCGGAUGAGAGGAGCUUGCUUCUCGAUUCAGCGGCGGACGGGUGAGUAAUGCCUAGGAAUCUGCCUGGUAGUGGGGGACAACGUUUCGAAAGGAACGCUAAUACCGCAUACGUCCUACGGGAGAAAGCAGGGGACCUUCGGGCCUUGCGCUAUCAGAUGAGCCUAGGUCGGAUUAGCUAGUUGGUGAGGUAAUGGCUCACCAAGGCGACGAUCCGUAACUGGUCUGAGAGGAUGAUCAGUCACACUGGAACUGAGACACGGUCCAGACUCCUACGGGAGGCAGCAGUGGGGAAUAUUGGACAAUGGGCGAAAGCCUGAUCCAGCCAUGCCGCGUGUGUGAAGAAGGUCUUCGGAUUGUAAAGCACUUUAAGUUGGGAGGAAGGGUUGUAGAUUAAUACUCUGCAAUUUUGACGUUACCGACAGAAUAAGCACCGGCUAACUCUGUGCCAGCCGCCGCCGUAAAAC